GACUUUCUGCUCAGUAGAAGCUUGAUAGGAUACACCUCAAGCCUGAGAUCCUAUUGUAGGGUGAAAAGCCUGAUGAUGUAGGAACAUGAGACCAGCCAAUGGCAGUUUUGUGCAUCCCAUGAUGGCCACUGAGAAAAUGCAACCUCCACGUGCACACCUCCAUACAGAUUGACAAUUGAACCAAAGUAUAGAACAUAUUUAAAAUGUUUUCACCACCCCAAAAUACAAAGGAACUUUCUUCCAAUGAAACCCACACAGAAUCAGCUGGAACUUCACACUGCACUGAGGGAGGAUUGUGGAACUCAAUGGAGUAGUGGCAUGAUCCAGUGUCCUGAUAUCUGUUGGGAUGUCGCGCACUAGUCCCUGAAGAAAUCCAAAGUCUCAUCCCAGUGAAUGAAGCAACCGGAGUGCAG